AUUUAAAUAGUUUAAGCUAAAAUUUCGAUUUGUGGAGUCGAAGAUAUAUUAUAUAUUUUAAAUU
rnacentral:tRNA from 1 species